UACGUAGGUGUCGAGCGUUGUCCGGAUUUAUUGGGCGUAAAGAGCCCGCAGGCGGCUUGGCAAGUUUGAGGUGAAAUCUCCCGGCUUAACUGGGAGGGGGCCUCGAAAACUGCCAGGCUUGAGGCAUGGAGAGGGAUGCGGAAUUCCCGGUGUAGUGGUGAAAUGCGUAGAUAUCGGGAGGAACACCAGUGGCGAAGGCGGCAUCCUGGUCCAGCACCGACGUUCAGGCACGAAAGCGUGGGGAGCAAACAGG
rnacentral:rRNA from 1 species